UCCGCCCUCCCUCUAGCCCAACCAAUAACCUACAUAAAAACCCACCUCCCACACCUAACCAAAACAUUCUAACCUGUCAUAGUAUAGGCGAUAGAAAAGACCUUUGGCGCAAUAGAGACCGACCGUACCGUAAGGGAAAGAUGAAAUAACAAUGAAAACCAUCAAGCAAAAAGCAGUAAAGACCAACCCUUGUACCUCUUGCAUCAUGAUUUAGCAAGAACAACCAAGCAAAGCGAACUAAAGUUUGCCCCCCCGAAGCCCAAGCGAGCUACUUGCAAGCAGCUAAAAUUGAGCGAACCCGUCUCUGUCGCAAAAGAGUGGGACGACUUGCCAGUAGAGGUGAAAAGCCAACCGAGCUGGGUGAUAGCUGGUUACCUGCCAAACGAAUGUAAGUUCUCCCUUAACCCAUUCUCCAAGGACACUACACCUAACCCGUACACGUUAGGGUUAAGAGCAAUUCGACGGAGGUACAGCUCCUUCGAAAAAGAAUACAACCUCUCCCAGCGGAUAAUACACCCCUUCUCUCUCCCGUGGGCCUUCAAGCAGCCAUCAACAAAAGAGUGCGUCAAAGCUCCCCCAUUAAAAAUCUAAAAACCCAUCCGACUCCCUCACCCAAAGCAGGUUAACCUAUGAUAAUAGAAGAAUUAAUGCUAAAAUGAGUAACUUGGAGCCCUCCUCCCACAGCACAAACUUACAUCAAUAAAUUAUUAACAGCACAACUUAUACCACAAUCUCAACAAGAACCCGUAUUACAACCCAACCUGUUAAUCCAACCCAGGAGUGCUUAUAAGAUGAUUAUAAUCUGCAAAAGGAACUCGGCAAACCAAAGACCCGACUGUUUCCCAAAAACAUAGCCUUCAGCAACCAACAAGUAUUGAAGGUGAUGCCUGCCCAGUGACCCACAACGUUCAACGGCCGCGGUAUCCUAACCGUGCGAAGGUAGCGCAAUCAAUUGUCUCAUAAAUUGAGACUUGUAUGAAUGGCUAAACGAGGUCUUAACUGUCUCCUGCAGACAAUCAGUGAAAUUAGUAUUCCCGUGCAAAAACGAGAAUGUGACCAUAAGACGAGAAGACCCUGUGGAACUUUAAAAUCACGACCACCCUCCCACCAUCUCCCCUUCCCCACCGGGCCCACCCACAUUAAACCCCCUGGUCGACAUUUUUCGGUUGGGGCGACCUUGGAGAAAAACAAAUCCUCCAAAUCCACAGACCACAGCUCUUCACUAAGAGCCACCCCUCAAAGUACUAACAGUAAUCAGACCCAAUAUAAUUGACCAAUGGACCAAGCUACCCCAGGGAUAACAGCGCAAUCUCCUUCAAGAGCCCAUAUCGACAAGGAGGUUUACGACCUCGAUGUUGGAUCAGGACAACCUAAUGGUGCAGCAGCUAUUAAGGGUUCGUUUGUUCAACGAUUAACAGUCCUACGUGAUCUGAGUUCAGACCGGAGUAAUCCAGGUCGGUUUCUAUCUAUGAAUCUACUCCUCCUAGUACGAAAGGACCGGAGAAGUGGGGUCAAUACCACAAGCACACCCCCACCCUCUAAGCAGUGAACUCAACUCAACUGCCAAGAGACUCAACACCCACACCUAACUCCUAGAAAAGGAACAG
rnacentral:rRNA from 1 species